AGAGUUUGAUCAUGGCUCAGGAUGAACGCUAGCGGCAGGCUUAAUACAUGCAAGUCGAGCGGUAACAGGUGUAGCAAUACAUGCUGACGAGCGGCAGACGGGUGAGGAACACGUACGCAACUUUCCUCAAACCGGGGCACAACCUUGAGAAAUCAGGGCUAAUUCCCCAUAACAUUGCGAGAGGGCAUCUGAUUGCAAUUAAAGAUUCGUCGGUUUGAGAUGGGCGUGCGUUCGAUUAGCUAGUUGGUAAGGUAACGGCUUACCAAGGCAACGAUCGAUAGCUGGUGUGAGAGCACGACCAGCCACACGGGCACUGAGAUACGGGCCCGACUCCUACGGGAGGCAGCAGUAAGGAAUAUUGGUCAAUGGACGAAAGUCUGAACCAGCCAUGCCGCGUGAAGGAUGAAGGCCCUCUGGGUUGUAAACUUCUUUUAUCUAUGAAGAAAUGUCCUGUUUCUACGGGAUUUGACGGUAAUAGAUGAAUAAGCACCGGCUAACUCCGUGCCAGCAGCCGCGGUAAUACGGAGGGUGCAAGCGUUAUCCGGAUUUACUGGGUUUAAAGGGUGCGUAGGUGGGUUGGUAAGUCAGUGGUGAAAUACUUUCGCUUAACGAAGGAACUGCCAUUGAUACUACCAGUCUUGAAUACAGUGGAGGUAGGCGGAAUGCGUCAUGUAGCGGUGAAAUGCUUAGAUAUGACGCAGAACACCAAUUGCGAAGGCAGCUUGCUACACUGCGAUUGACACUGAGGCACGAAAGCGUGGGGAUCAAACAGGAUUAGAUACCCUAGUAGUCC
rnacentral:rRNA from 1 species